rnacentral:lncRNA from 10 species
CUAACUGCCUGCACUUUCACCUCGCUUCUGGGCACUGCUCCCGGGCUCUGGCGGUGCUUUGGCCCCAUGUCCAGGGAGCCUGACCCGCCUGGUGGCUGUGAUUCCCUGGGACAGCCCCUGGGUGACCACUGUGAGUCUGAGCUCUUGCCUUGGGGCAGGACGAACUGGGUGCUCCUCAGACCCAGAUCCGGCUGAGGCUGGGAUAUUGGCUCGAGUGACACCUGGGCUUGGCUUCCUUCCCUGCCCUGUCCUGUCUCCCCUGUGCAGCCUCCCCUGAAGCGCGGGUCUACAAACCUCAUCCCAGGACCCGUUUCUAGGAGACAGUGAGGCUAAGACCCAGUGCCUGCCCGAUGCAUUAACAGAUGGAAUCCUCCUGAGGACCCUAGGAAGCAGAGCACACAAUUUAACCCAGGACAGCAGGGAGACAGCACCCCAGGCCGAGUGAAGGGGAGGACCGCACAGGCAAACGCUGGCCUGGCGAGGCACCAGAGGCUGUAGAGGAAAGCGCCUCCCACCUGUGAGAUGCCAACAAGAUACCCAGGGUCUGAAGAGUCUUAAAAGAAAAGCAAGGAGCGGGGGUAUGAUAUCCGACCAAAGAGCAAACGCCCGAGCCACUUGGCACUGCACUCUAACUGGGAGGCUGAGCACACAAAUUAGAUGUUUGUAAGAAUAAACAGUCAUUAGAACUCGAGAACUAGAGGAGAAAUAAACAUCAUUUCAAGAUAUUUGACUAAUUUGGCUCUGAGCUCUGCCUGCCUGUGAAUGUGCUGGUUUCUGGCUUGCGGGGAUGCCUGUGUAUCUGUGCAUGCUUCUUGUUAGCCCUCUUGGUUACGUGUCCUUACUGAGUGCCAAAGUCUCCUCUGUAAAAUGGGGAUAACAGCAACACCCAACUCAAGGGUGUUGGGAGAGUGGAACAAGGAAAUACACACAAAUUGAUUAAAACAGAGCCUGGCACCUAUAGUAAGUGCUCAAGAAAUGUGAGCAAUACUCUACAUUUGCUCACAUAUUCAUUCGUUCAGCAAAUAUGCAGAGGGUCCCAGCCAGGGGAGGCCCUGUUCCUAGUGUUAGGGAUCAAAAGACAGUGAGAUUCCUCGUGCCAGCUGAUGCCAGGCACACGGUGGGCGCCCAGGAACAGAUUUUUGAAGAAUGAAUGUAUGGGGCAUGGACUUUGCCUUCAAGAGCUGUGGCCUGGGGAGGAGACAGACUUGUAAAUAAAUCACUGCAAACACUGUCAUGAUAAAUGCAAAGCAGUUCCAGCUAUAAAUUUCACCUAAAGUACAGUAAAAGGACCGGCCCUGAUGGUGGAAUUUCAGAGACAGAGGCCAAGGCAGGGAACAGUGCUGCGGGAAUGAGGCCCUCUUAGAUGCUUUGAAAUUGUACCAGGAAGACCACAGCCCCUGAACCCAGUUCAGAGUGGAGACAGCAGGGCAGGGAAGCCCUCACACCGUGGAUGAUGACAGGUACACACUUUGGAGGACUCAGGCCACUGGGCUGGAUGACCCUGGCCAUCCCCCUGCCUCAGGGCCCAUGGCCC